UGCCUGCCCUGACUCGUCAUUUAAAUAAAGCCUCAGGUUUUAGAACAGGACAAAAAAAGAAAACAAAACAAAAAAACACUUCACACAGGAGAUUACAUUUCACAGUUAAGAGUUAGCAUAAAUGGCUGACCAACAACAUCUGUACGAGUUAUUUCAUCGCAGGCCCUCGGCAGCUCAAACCAGCAUGGAUGCUUUAGUGUCAACCUUGUGGUGGACAGUCUUCCCCGGACAGCACUAUGGACAAAACCACAGGCUGGAUGUAAUCUUUCCCGGGAUGUCUUACUGGCCAGAAAUGGCAACCCUGCCACUCUGUCCGUACUACUUUGACCAGGUCGCUUACAGCCUUCCUACAAGAGACCAAGUGAAAUACAAGGAUUGGUGCAACCUCAGGCUGCCCUUGUUCGACUCAUGGGCAAGCUUAAAACAAGAGCGGCAGAGGGCCACAGAGCAGCAUAGAAGACAUCGUUCAAGCACUAACCAAGAGGCCCAGCGCAGCUCUGCCAUCCAAUUAAGUCAACUAUGUCAACUCCAAGAUCGUAACACUGGCUGGAGCAUAUCUACCAAACAGUAUAUUCAUAUGAUGUAUGGCUAUCGCUGCUAGCUUUAGUUUUUGUCUCAUAGCUCUUAAUAAA